ACCUCUCUCCAAGCUUUCUCUCUCAUCACCCAAUGCCUCUCUACAACUUUGACCGUUCUCUCUCUACAGAGAGAAAAAAGACGCAACAAAAGAGUCCCACAUGGGAUCAUCUCUAUCUUUCCAUAAAAGCAAAGAGUCACAAUCACAUCAUCCAUCUUUGUGAUAAAUUUUCCAUCGAGUAUCUUUGUGACAAGAUGUUCAAACGAACGGUAAAACGAGAAAAACAAGAUUAGAGCCCUAUCCUCAUUAUCGGGCUUAACACUAAUGCUAAUAAUUGAUGGAUACUCUUAUUAAGUUAUUCAUAUGUUCAUGAAUAUCUGUAUCUUCAUUCAUCUUUAGGGUGUAUUGUUGUUACGUCUAGUAUGACCAAUUUAUCCCAAUAUCCUCACAUAAUCAACUUGGACAUGAGUCUUGUACACCCAAAAAACUGACUCAAACACUAAUCGGACAUCUAGAAACUUAAAACCGAGACUCUAAAGUCUUAACUUUGUAGACCCCUCAAAAGUAUUUCAACCUUGACCAAAUUUGAUUUCAAAUUAUAUACCAGGUUGCAAGAUUUCUAACGGUCUAAGACCUGAAUCUAACUUACAGUUAUAAACUUAAGGCCCAGGGGAAGUUAUUUAAAGAAAUAACAAUUUAGUCCCCGUCGGGGUUAGUGGCGCACCGUGCGGCCCGAUGGGCCUGUGUACGUUUUAAGCCCGUUUUGAUUUAUUUUGGGUCAUGUCUUCAUCAGAAAAAUCCAAAAAAAUAACGAAAGAUCCCUAAACCCAAUUCUAAUUAAGCUCUGAGAUUAUAAUUGCUAAUUUCCACAAUAACCCUAGUUCAACCUAUAAAUACACCAUAGAAAAUAGACCAAAAUUAUCUGACAAAUUCUUUUGAAAAUCAUUGGAAAAUAGGAGAAAAUCCCAAAAUUAGAAAAAAUACCUAAAAUAGCCAAAAAUGGAAAAAAGCCAUAUGAAAUUCUUAACAAAUUAAGAAAAGUUCUCAAAAAUCACCAAAAUUCCAAAAAUUUAGAUUUUACCUUAGUUCCCAAAAGCCUUAGGAAACUAAACCAAAAAUCACAAAAUUGAUAUUUUAACUUAGGAGAUCCCAAAAACC
rnacentral:lncRNA from 1 species